rnacentral:piRNA from 1 species
UGUAAUGGUUUCCUAUAUGCGCUCUGCAGAG